rnacentral:snoRNA from 3 species
ACAAACACAGCUGAUAACAUAACUUUUUUCCCCAUUAGAUUAACCUUAUUGAUCUAGCUGAACCAUUAGCCAGUGUUUUUUCUGAUGCAUUGGA